UCCCUCAUAGCUCAGUUGGUAAAGAAUCUGCCUGCAAUGCAGGAGACCCUGGUUCAAUUCCUGUGUUGGGA
rnacentral:tRNA from 1 species